AGCUGGUAGCAGCUUGUAAGGAAAACUGGCCACCUAUGUGUUGGCUUUCUGCUCUGCCUGUAGGUAAUGGUUAUCCAGAUUUUCAGCUGCACCCUCUUCCGGAGCCUCGGGAGGAUCCGCGGGGUAAGUAGUCAAGAUGCAUUCACUUCACAGAAGMAGCUUUUCCGUUUCCAACUUUUCUUGGUGUGGAGUGUAACUGAAUAAGUGCUUGGCUGCUGCUCGCACAGACAGAAGAGCAGAGUGGGACUCGGGAGGCGUUCAGAGAUGUGCCUCGGGGUGCUUUGCCUUGCAGAGUCUUUGUGCUGCUUCCAAAGCCUGCUGCAAAGCCAGCGGGCUUGUUGGGGUUGAGUUUACAGCUUGUGUGAAGAACUGCAGGGUGUGCUUUCCCGCGGCAGCUCUGUGCCUGCUUAGAUUGGUACCCAUACGGUGCCUGGGCACGCACGUGGUGAGCGUCUGCAAGAUGCUCGUGAGUGGAAGGGCAAGACAAGCRCCUAGCUGUGAUUCUGUGUCCCCCGCCGUCAUUCACUGCCAUUCAAAUCUGAAGAAGCAUAUGGAAAUGUGUGUAAUGGGAGUUGUUCCUAUGUGUGUUUGGUUACAGAUGUGGCCGUAGAGGAUGUCUCUGCAGCUUCUCGGCUGGAUGCAGGUUCAGAGACUCUGGGGGAUCGUACAGGUGGGUCGUGACUAUUCUCCUACUGUGAACAUUCUUUAUUUUAAGAGCUGCCAGGUGCCAGGCCAAAGGUCAUCUCUGCCCCUCCACAGCUUUGAGACUCUCGACCUGCAUAUAUGUCCCAUGUCAUGACGUGACCCCCCCCUUCCAUUCAUUACACCUGCUUUGUGAAGAAGCUGGUAGCAGCUUGUAAGGAAAACUGGCCACCUAUGUGUUGGCCCUGCACCAAGUCUGGCUAUCAUUGAGGCUCCAGCCUAAAUGACCACAUAUGAGUGGGUCGCGCUGUGCUCGUAACUGAGCACAAGACAUGACCUCACACCCUUGGAUGCAAGGCAAGACACCAUACCAAUCUGUGACUGCUUCAUUUCUUAAGGGUGUGUAACAGAAGAAUAAUCUAGUUAGGAGCACAUGUCCUGGCAGAUAUCCCAGUUGAUGACAACCUGAUGUCUUCCUAUUAUUCUUUAUAGAAAAAAAAAGUUACAUUAAGAGCCAGUGUGAAACUGAGAUGUGUUACAAUCACAAGUGAGAACAAAGACAUAAUACAACAGCACCUGGAAAGUUUAGAAAUCUUGUACGGACAAGGAAUAACCAUAACACUUAACCUGAAGAAAGUACAAGCCAAUAUACCUGGGGAAAAUAAUCGAACCCACAGAUACUCAUAAAGCAAUGGAAAAAUAAGUCUGCAAGCAAGAAAUUAAGAGUGUGUGUGUGUGUGUGUGUGUGUGCGCGCGUGUCAUGUGAAUGAGAGAGAAAACAGGAGUCUGUUGAAGAGCAGAGACUUUCUCAGCAGAACGUAUAUGUCCAUUAAAAGCCAGGGGUCACACUGCAAUUUCUAGGACAUUGAGAUCUGUAUUUAAUUUCCAUACAGUGACUCAGAGGGAGCCGUGGGCUGCUUCAUCCUGGAGCCCCAGUGCCUCCAGCAAGGUGCCCAGUGAGGCAAAAG
rnacentral:lncRNA from 1 species